GCGUUAGCUCAGUGGUUAGAGCUUAGAUCUUGUGACCGGAAAGUUACAGGAUCGAAUCCCGCUAGAGGCA
rnacentral:tRNA from 1 species